rnacentral:rRNA from 1 species
CGCCCGCUACUCGGCGAGAAGUCCAUUGAACCUUAUCAUUUAGAGGAAGGAGAAGUCGUAACAAGGUUUCCGUAGGUGAACCUGCGGAAGGAUCAUUGUCGAGACCGAAAACAUACACCGAGCGAUUCGGAGAACCCGUGAAAUGAGCGACGGCCGUCCCACUCGUCCCCGUUCCCCCACCCCCACCCCGGGGUGAGGGGGCGCGGCGGAGGACGGAUAAAAACAAAAACCGGCGCAGCAUCGCGCCAAGGAGAAACUGAAAGGCACGAGCCCCGCGUCGGGCUCGGCGUCAUGGGGUGCUGUUGCACGCCAUGCGGAUGGACACGACUCUCGGCAAUGGAUAUCUCGGCUCUCGCAUCGAUGAAGAGCGCAGCGAAAUGCGAUACGUGGUGCGAAUUGCAGAAUCCCGCGAACCAUCGAGUCUUUGAACGCAAGUUGCGCCCGAGNCCAGCCGGCCGAGGGCACGUCCGCCUGGGCGUCAAGCGUUGCGUCGCUCCGCGCCAGCCCCGUCCGCCCAUCGGGUGCGUCGGCUGUGGCCCGGAUGUGCAGAGUGGUUCGUCGUGCCGGCCGGUGCGGCGGGAUGAAGAGCGGGCUACGUCUCGCUGGCCGCGAACAACAAGGGGUGGGCGAAANCGGUGAGCUCAGCCUGCGUUGUCUCGCGCUGGCCCGAGAGACGGAUUGUGCCUUCGCGGUGAUCCCGGCCCGAGCGC